AGCGAACGCUGGCGGCGCGUCUUAAACAUGCAAGUCGAGCGGAUGUAGCAAUACAUUAGCGGCAAACGGGUGAGUAACACGUAGGCAAUCUACCCACGAAUGGGGGACAACUUCGGGAAACCGGAGCUAAUACCGCAUAACAUCAUUUGAUUUACGGAUUGAGUGAUCAAAGCAGCAAUGCGUUUGUGGAUGAGCCUGCGUCCCAUCAGCUAGAUGGUAGGGUAACGGCCUACCAUGGCGACGACGGGUAGCCGGCCUGAGAGGGUGAUCGGCCACACUGGAACUGAGACACGGUCCAGACUCCUACGGGAGGCAGCAGUGGGGAAUAUUGGACAAUGGGCGAAAGCCUGAUCCAGCCAUGCCGCGUGUGUGAAGAAGGUCUUCGGAUUGUAAAGCACUUUAAGUCGGGAGGAAGGGCUGCAGGUUAAUACCUUGCAGCCUUGACGUUACCGACAGAAUAAGCACCGGCUAACUUCGUGCCAGCAGCCGCCGUAA
rnacentral:rRNA from 1 species